rnacentral:rRNA from 1 species
UACGGAGGGUGCAAGCGUUAUCCGGAUUCACUGGGUUUAAAGGGUGCGUAGGUGGGUUGGUAAGUCGGAUGUGAAAUCCCCAGGCUUAACCUGGGAACUGCAUCCGAUACUGGAUGGCUUGAAUCCGGGAGAGGGAUGCAGAAUUCCAGGUGUAGCGGUGAAAUGCGUAGAUAUCUGGAGGAAUACCGGUGGCGAAGGCGGCAUCCUGGACCGGCAUUGACGCUGAUGAGCGAAAGCUAGGGGAGCAAACGGG